AGGGGGGAGGUGGCGUGCCCCCCUGGGUCUGUGGGGAGUUGGGUGGGACGUGUUUUAUGGGCAAAAACACGUCGUUUGGAGUAGGAUUUCCACCCACACAGACUCUAGCCAGAGCGUGGCGGCUCAAGUCAGAAAGCGUCCUUGGCCCCGUAUUAUCGAAAAAUCUGGUUUAACGUAUCCGUACGAGGAUCAGCAGGAUUUCGGUGUAUUUGCCUCGUUACAAUAGAUGAUUUGAGCUUCGCCACGUUGAACGUGUUUCUCUGCCUACAUCCAGGACGGCGUGGAGUCGUUGCCCGGUCGCGUAAAUGUUCCCAGUCGGCAUGAUUCCCCAAAAAGGUGAUUGCUGCGUUAUGUUUUUCGUGUUCCAUAUGGGCAACUUCUCCCUGUUCUAUCCGGGUGGACAGUCGGUGUUUACAUGUUCGAGCCGAGUCCCUUCAGAGAAAGCUCUCCGGAUCAGAAAGUGUCGUAGAACGGUGUGUUGCCUUCUCUCCACAGUCUGUGGUAGGAUACGCAACAUGCUGGACCGAUGCUAGAUGGGGAAGGAGAGCGUAGCACCGAGUCCCUUCAGAGAAAGCUCUCCGGAUCAGAAAGUGUCGUAGAACGGUGUGUUGCCUUCUCUCCACAGUCUGUGGUAGGAUACGCAACACGCUGGACCGAUGCUAGAUGGGGAAGGAGAGCGUAGCCCCUGUGACCGUAAUUGUUGCCGAUGUAACACCCGCGCGCUGUGGACACUCAGGACGCCUUCAUGCAAGCGAUUCUCCCAUGCUAUGCGUGGGAGGAGGCUUGGUAGGUUAGACUGCUGUGGCUACGCGAGCGCAUGAGUAGCUUUGGACCCGUGUCUGUUGGUAGAUCCCCCGUCCUCGUGCGGCCGACUACCGACGCCGUGUCCCAUCAUUCGUGUGGCUUAUGUUACUGUUGCCUUUCAAGUGCUUGCGUGCAUGUACCCGACCUACGGGAAGUGGUGCUUCGUACAUGUUUGCCUCGCGGCGGACACCUUCGGGCGUACCGUUGUGGCCUAAUGGCGCUUGCGGCGUUUCCUCGUGGUGCUGGCAUGUUUUUUGCUCGGUGCUAUCAAGGAAGCCUCGUUAUCGCUGUUGGUUUCGGAUGCUGCUCAUGAUAAAGGCUCAUGGCCCUUUUGGUGCCUAGAACCGACACAGAAGCUAUCUGGAUCAGAACGUGUCGUAGAACGGGAUGUUGCCUCUACCUCUCCACAGUUAGUGGUAGGAUACGCAACAGGCUGGACCGAUGCUAGUAGGAGAAGGAAAGCUUAGCCCGCUCAAUUGCGACAACCGGCUCGGCCGUUGUCUGCCUGCAAGGGCGGAUUGCUACCGAUGCUGGACGUCAAAGAGGACGUGCU
rnacentral:misc_RNA from 1 species